GACGAACGCUGGCGGCGUGCUUAACACAUGCAAGUCGAACGAAGUGGCGAACGGGUGAGUAACGCGUAAACAACCUGCCCUUCAGAGGGGGACAACAGUUGGAAACGACUGCUAAUACUCCCUACUGAAGGAGUGGAUUGAGUCUGUUGAGCUAGUUGGAGGGGUAACGGCCCACCAAGGCGAGGAUCAGUAGCCGGGCUGGGAGGAUGAGCGGCCCCAUUGGGACUGUGACACGGCCCAGACUCCUACGGGAGGCAGCAGUGGGGAAUCUUCCGGAAUGGGCGAAAGUCUGACGUAGCAACGCCGCGUGAGUGAUGACGGCCUUCGGGUUGUGAAGCUCUGUUAAUCGGGACGCGGUACCGGAAUAGAAAGCCACGGCUAACUACGUGCCAGCAGCCGCGGUAAUAC
rnacentral:rRNA from 1 species